GCAAGUCGAACGCGAAAGCACCUUCGGGUGUGAGUAGAGCGGCGGACGGGUGAGUAACGCGUAGGAAUCUAUCCAGUAGUGGGGGACAACAUGGGGAAACUCAUGCUAAUACCGCAUACGUCCUAAGGGAGAAAGCGGGGGAUCUUCGGACCUCGCGCUAUUGGAGGAGCCUGCGUUGGAUUAGCUAGUUGGUGGGGUAAAGGCCCACCAAGGCGACGAUCCAUAGCUGGUCUGAGAGGAUGAUC
rnacentral:rRNA from 1 species